CUUGGUCAUUUAGAGGAAGUAAAAGUCGUAACAAGGUCUCCGUUGGUGAACCAGCGGAGGGAUCAUUACCGAGUUUACAACUCCCAAACCCCUGUGAACAUACCUAUACGUUGCCUCGGCGGAUCAGCCCGCGCCCUGUAAAAAGGGACGGCCCGCCCGAGGACCCUAAACUCUGUUUUUAGUGGAACUUCUGAGUAAAACAAACAAAUAAAUCAAAACUUUCAACAACGGAUCUCUUGGUUCUGGCAUCGAUGAAGAACGCAGCAAAAUGCGAUAAGUAAUGUGAAUUGCAGAAUUCAGUGAAUCAUCGAAUCUUUGAACGCACAUUGCGCCCGCCAGUAUUCUGGCGGGCAUGCCUGUUCGAGCGUCAUUUCAACCCUCAAGCUCAGCUUGGUGUUGGGACUCGCGGUAACCCGCGUUCCCCAAAUCGAUUGGCGGUCACGUCGAGCUUCCAUAGCGUAGUAAUCAUACACCUCGUUACUGGUAAUCGUCGCGGCCACGCCGUAAAACCCCAACUUCUGAAUGUUGACCUCGGAUCAGGUAGGAAUACCCGCUGAACUUAAGCAUAUCAAUAAGCGGAGGA
rnacentral:rRNA from 2 species